GGAACGGUGGCUGAGUGGUCGAAAGCACUCCCUUGCUAAGGGAACGUAGGGGUAACUCUACCGAGGGUUCGAAUCCCUCCCGUUCCG
rnacentral:tRNA from 1 species